rnacentral:rRNA from 1 species
UAGGUGNUNGUUANUUUGAUUNAAGCCCGGGNUCANCUUGGAAUGCAUUNGAUACUGGCGGGNUAGAGUACGUAGAGGGUGGCGGAAUUCCUGGUGUAGCAGUGAAAUGCGUAGAGAUCAGGAGGAACAUCCGUGGCGAAGGCGGCCACCUGGACCAGUACUGACACUGAGGCACGAAAGCGUGGGGAGCAAACAGGAUUAGAUACCCUGGUAGUCCACGCCCUAAACGAUGCGAACUGGAUGUUGGGGGCAAUCAGGCCUUCAGUAUCGAAGCUAACGCGUUAAGUUCGCCGCCUGGGGAGUACGGUCGCAAGACUGAAACUCAAAGGAAUUGACGGGGGCCCGCACAAGCGGU